GAAUAUUAGCCAUAACCUUAAAAGUUGAAGUUCAAAUGUCAAUGUCAUUUAGUUUCGCACAGUGAUAAAUUCCAGUGACAUGCAAUUUUUGUAAUGGCAAAAUAUUUGUAAGAAACUGCAAACAAAUGCAAAUGUGCAGUCGAUGUGUGGAAUGCGACAACAUUAUACUCGAUAAUUUCAAUUAUUGCGAGUGUUGUGGCUUAGAAACAAUUAGGCAGUUAAGAAUAAACAAGGCUCGGGCACUAUCAAACCUUUUUCCAAAAAAGCAAAAAGCUGCUUCUGCUGCAUCACAAGAUUUAUUUGAUGACUUUCAGGUUGAUAACGAAGAGUUGACGCUAAUCGAGGAUUCAUUGAUGAUUGAUGAUGCUUCUUCGGACAACAAGAAAAAACAGCUACUGUCAGUCAGCAGUGAUGAUGCUUCUUCGGACAACAAGGAAAAACAGCUGCUGUCAGUCAGCAGUGAUUUUAUUUCUUUAUAAGAAGAGAAAGAAAACAUAUCAAAUGGCGGGCAGACCCCCGAAAAAACGUAAAUAUUCAAGCAGGUUUAGUACAGAAUAUCAGCCCCCCCGGGACUAACUAUUUAUAUUUAGCACUUUCAAAUAACACCAUUCAAGUAUCAGUACAUUCAGUUGGUUCUAUGAUUUAUGAAUGUGUUCAA